CUCAUAAAAUAAUGACUAGUUGGCCACAUUGAAACAGCAGCAAGCCCAAGAGACCCGUUAAACCCAAACCAACCACAGUCCGUGCCUCCCCUAUAUAAAGCCCUCUAUUCACCAGGCAGAUGUUUUUCCUGCCUUUCUCUCUCCUCUCUCUUUCCAUCUCUACAAAACUAUUUUUACAGAUCAUAAACUUUUUGAAAGUCAUGGCAUGUAACGAGAGAGCAUUGUGGAAAAGUAGUUGCUUAAUUAGUUUCAUUUUUCUACUGGAAUUUUUUGCGUUUAUACGGACUUCGGUUUUCGAACUACCUUUAAUUUGCGUCAUAUUUAAUUUUUCUUCUAUCACGUAUUUUAGUAAACAACUUGUUGGUCGUAAUCAUAUUUUAAUUGCUUAAUUGUUUUUCUACAGAUCAUAAGUAUUUGGAAGACAUAGCAUAUAAUAACGACCCAGCAUUUGUGGAAAAGCCGUUGCUUAUUUUCUCAGAUCAUAAGUUUUAAAAGAUACUAAUAUGUGAUCACACUUCCAGCAUUGUGGAAAUUCGGUUGCUUCGUUUUUCAGCACUUGAAUGCUGAAGUUCGACAUUGGUGUGAAAUGGACUUUGUUUAUCCCUGCUAAAGACUAUUGCACAUAAAGCAUAUUGAUGCAACUUUGAGUGGUGUCCAAAUCAAGUUGCUCCCGCCUUGACUAUUCCACCGAAAAGCUUGCUGCAGCCCACCUUACAGGUGUCCAGAGAUCAGCUCACCAUGGUAGCAUUUAUAGGUACUGUGCGUUAUAGCUUAGCUUUGAACCUGAGAUCUUAGGUUGUUACUCCUAUGCCUCAAACUACUCUAGAAUUCCCUUGGUGUUUCAUAAAUUAUGUCCAACGGCAUGAACUUGUUAUGAUAGAAACCUUAGUUAUGCAUAUUUUUCUUUUACUAGUUAACUGUAAAUUAACCAGUGAAACUUACCCUAACCUCAGAAGUUGGAGUUGCCAAUUGAUGAUUCUCCUCCUUUGUUUUGUUGUAUCUUUCAAUCACCGACUUCAUGCUGUAAAAGUAAA